UGAGGUGGUUCGGGCAUCUGGUAAGGAUGCCCCCCCCCCUGGGCGCCUCCCAAGGGAGAUGUUCGAGGCACUACCAGCUGGGAGGACGCCACGGGGAAGACCCAGGACUAGGUGCAGAGAUUAGAUCUCCACACUGGCCUGGGAACGCCUCGGGAUCCCCCAGUCAGAGCUGGUUAAUGUGGCCCGGGAAAGGGACGUUUGGGGACCCCUGCUGGAGCUGUUGCCCCCGCGACCCGACCUCGGAUAACAGGUUGAAGAUGAACGAGUGAUGAGGAGG